rnacentral:rRNA from 1 species
GAUGAACGCUAGCUACAGGCUUAACACAUGCAAGUCGAGGGGCAGCAUGAAGUUUGCUUGCAAACUUUGAUGGCGACCGGCGCACGGGUGAGUAACGCGUAUCCAACCUUCCCCUUACUAGGGAAUAGCCCGGCGAAAGUCGGAUUAAUGCCCUAUGUUCUCCUUUGCGGGCAUCUAACGAGGAGCAAAGAUUCAUCGGUAAGGGAUGGGGAUGCGUCUGAUUAGCCAGUUGGCGGGGUAACGGCCCACCAAGGCGACGAUCAGUAGCCGGCCUGAGAGGGCGGACGGCCACAUUGGGACUGAGACACGGCCCAGACUCC